UGCGGCCCUGGGAUCCUGAUCCAAGGGCCACGCCUGUCUGAGGGUCG
rnacentral:rRNA from 2 species